CCUACGGGAGGCAGCAGUGGGGGAUAUUGCACAAUGGGGGAAACCCUGAUGCAGCGACGCCGCGUGAGUGAAGAAGUUUUUCGGUAUGUAAAGUUCUAUCAGUAGGGAAGAUUAUGACAGUAUCUGACCAAUAAGCCCCGGCUAACUCCGUGCCAGCAGCCGCGGUAAUACGUAGGGGGCAAGCGUUAUCCGGAUUGACUGGGUGUAAAGGGAGCGUAGACGGUUAUGUAAGUCUGGAGUGAAAGCCCGGGGCUCAACCCCGGGACUGCUUUUGAAACUGUGUAACUGGAGUGUGGGAGGGGCAGGCGGAAUUCCUGGUGUAGGGGUGAAAUGCGUAGAGAUCAGGAGGAACACCGGCGGCGAAGGCGACCUGCUGGA
rnacentral:rRNA from 1 species